rnacentral:misc_RNA from 1 species
CUGCCAUUCACAUAUUUGUUGCAGCACAAAAUUAUCAGCUAGUAAGAAUUAUUACAGCACAUAUUUGUUUUCAAAUUCCAGCAUCAUUUACUUAUUUUCCCUGGGGGAAAGAAGGGAGUUCUCUUUCUAAAUGGUCCAUCCAAUCCAAUGGAAAGCUCUUCAUUCUGUUGUCAAGGAACUUCAACACAAGAAGGACAAGAGAUCCAUAUGCCCAAACAUAGAAGGAAACACAAACCAAAUAUAGUAUUGGGAAAGAAUAUCAAAAUCUAAGUAUUAAAAUGUCAAACAUAAAAUUUGCUCGAAGUUCAGACACUGCAAUUGUAAAUAGACAAAUAAAUACAUUGUGCAGAGAUUUCAUGGAGAGAUCAUCCAUGUUAAUACCUCUUCCUGAAAUUCCUGUGGCUUUAACAGCCUUCUUCUGCUUCUCCUAACAAACAAUUAUGACUUUUCAUUCUUAACUAACAUAUAAUUCCUCUAAAAAAAUAAUCAAAAUAUAAGGAAAAAAGAUAUGAACAUGGGAAAAAUAAAGUGGGACUGUUGUCCCAAAAUGCAUAUGUAAAAUGUACAAGCUUACAGACUCCCGGUGUCAUUCAACUGAAUUCCCGCCUUGUGAGUUCUCUUCAAACAAAUCUGACUGGGAUUUACUUGGAAUGAUAGUGGGAGGUGACCACUGAUCUGGGACCAUUAGAAAAUAGGUAGUCAUUGCUUUCCUGAACCUUUUCUUGUAUUGAUCUGGAGAAAUAACCGUCGGAGAUGAGUUCCUUGGCCCACCAAGUAUGCCUGAAGCUUUCACCCAUGUUUCCAGGUGCUUGUCCCACGUAUAUUGCCUCAUGAAAUCAAUGAUUCCAAGAACCAAUUCACCCUUCUCUUCAUCCAGCCCAACCAAUAAUGAGUAAUCCAUUACAUCAAUAGACGCAAGAAAAGAAGUAUCAUUCCAGACAGCUCUCUCCAGUAACCGCUUUGCCUUGUUUCCAACAAAAAUAGGAGAAGUUGGCAUUGCUUCAAUCAAGUUCUGAUCCAACAGAACUUUAUUGCUCCCACUAGAAUCAGCAUUAUAUCGUGAUCGGGAAGAUCCCUUAAGAUCAUAAAGGCGGGUCACAUUCCUCCCAAACAGAAGAUUCUCCAUGACUAGAACAUCCAUUUUUGAUUCUUUCCCACCUUUCAAAUGUUUUGAUGUAACCUGAUAGAUCCCCAAAAUUUUAGCCAGGCAUGUUGGACUUCUUGAACUAAUUGAAUCAGAGAGAUACUUGAAAUAUUCAGGAGCAAAUUUUAUAAAUGACUCCAAUUCUGUCUUUGUGACUUGUUUGAUAAUAAAGCGAUCGUCCAAUGUUUUUGCAAAGAAGACAUUACUCUUGCCACCUUGAGCUCCCCACUUCUUACAACGACUGAGAGACCUUAUAAAAUCAAGUUCAGAUGGGCAACAUAUCCUUCUUAAGGCUUCAAACCGUUUUGCAUAGUAACAUGUCACAGAAUGUUUCACCUUACCAAGUGGGCCUUCAUCUCCAAAAGAAACUCUGGCAUGCAUAGCUUUUGUGUGAAAGAGUGGGUCUAGAAGCAGAGGGCUUCGAGAUCCAGGCAGAGGCAAGAUACUCUCAUCUGUAGACCCAAGGCUUCUGUGAGAAUCGAUGGUAACUUCAUCAACAGUGUGGAAUGACUGAGAAGUCAUGGGUUCAGAUAAACUUAAGGAAGAAUUUAAGUCUCCAUCAUCAGUCAGUUGGCCAUGAUACUCUGGUGAUAGUAGUGCAUAAGAUAUAAUGCUUGUAGGCUCAUCAUCAUACACAGGAAUGACAGUGUCAUUCACACCCACAGGCAGGAGGAGCCUAGCCCCACCCUGGAGUUCCAACUUCCUGAAGGAUGAAACAUAGAUUGGACUAUAUUCGCCCAUUAUAUUAAGCUUCUCAGAGCUUGCCAAAAAGUUCUUGUUCAAUGAGCGGUAAAAGUUCAAGAAAGGCAUUCUUAGGUAGCUUACAGAAGCUUCCAUAUUAUCAGAGCCCAUGACAGACAAAUCAGGUGAAGGUGAACAGCUGACCUUGGGCCCAUUUUGGUCUUCCACUCGACUGUACAAAUCUAACCCUUCCGGUGCUGUAGAUGUGGUUGACAAAUCUGCCAGAACUGAAUCAGAAAGCACACUGGUAUCAUCCUUUGUUAUUUCAAUUCCUUGGAAAUUCUCACCUGUCCAUGCAGCAUCAAGGGUAUCAGAUAAAUUUGACAUGAUAGGAACCUGUCCCUCAGAAACGGUCCUGCGAACAUUUCCACUGUAUUCCAGGCUGCUGGGUUGAUCACAGAUGGGAAUGACAGCUGAAAGCUUAGUGUGGUCUUCCUUUCCCUGAUUAGAACCUUGACUCUUAUCUUUUUCAUGGGCUGUGUCAGAGUGGUCAGGAUUACUGCCAAGUCCUCCUUGCUGAUCAGGGAUUUUAAGCAACAAUGUAUCUACAGGCAGAGAGUUGCAGCUACUAAAACCUUUUCCUGGCUUGGCAUUCACAUUCAUCUCAUUGAGCUGCUCAGUAUUAGCUAUGGGUUUUUCCUCAUGUCCUGAACUUGACCAAUUCAAAUUAUCAUGAAAACUGUUGUUAUCUAAACUGGCUGCAUAUAUUAGCCGGUGGUCCCACAUAUAAGAUUGGAAAAGCAACUGCCGCCGCAAUCUAUUGAUCUCAAGAAUGUCAAUAACAGGCUGACCCUUUUUUGCUUCUCUAUUCAAAGCUUUUUGGAGCAACUCCUCAAAUUCUACCUUCUCCUUUUUUAACAUUGCUUCAAGUUCUCCAAUUUGGCGCCUUGAUUCAGGUAGUUUUGUGCCACUAUUUGGUGGUGCCGCACUAGAUCUUUUCUCUGCAAUUUGACUCAAAGCAUUGAGUACUUCAGAAAAUAGAAGCUCUGCCCGGUCAACAACCUCAACUGUUUCUUUCUGUAUCCACUCCUGGUUCUCAAAGUUGAAAUCAAGUUUUGAGGGUGGAAGGUACACAGAGAGAACAUGAAUUGAUGCAUAACGAAAGCAAGCAACCAUAUUCCCAAAUCUGCACAUGUUAAAUUGGUGAGAAAAACAGACACACACAGACAGGAACAGAGAGGUUUGUUAGAAGUGAAAGGGAAAAAAAGGGUUUUUGUUACUAUUGCCAAUAUAACUUGAGAUCCAUGUUGAAUGAAUUCAAUUACACAAAUGAAUUUAAUAAUCAGUUCCACUAAACUUAAAGCACUCACUUAACAUCCAAAAAAGGCAUUCCAGCUGAUGACAUCCAAAAUGGUCUCAAUCACACAUCUUGAUUCUCUAAUGUGCCAUAAAUUCAUCUUUAGGAUUAAGAUUGCAUACAUGUGUCAUCAUUCCUAUGCUUUCCACAUCAAGACACUUGCAGCACAAUAAAAUAACGAAAUUAAGAUAAAUACCCAUAGAAUCGAAGACAAUCCCUAUGCAGAGAAUGACCACAACUUGCCACCCUGCUUGCAGCUGCAUGGUUUGAAAAACUAAGCUCCAAAAAUUUCCCAAAAGAUAAACCCCAAGCAGCAUCAGACAUCACUACUCUCUGGGUAGCUGGAGGAAAACCAUUUAUCCGGGGACACCUUAAGCAUCUGUGCCACAUCCAGAUCUUUCCAUCCUUUUCACCUGGUAAUAUUAUUUCUGGUAGCUUCUUAACUGAUAUAGUCAGGGUGCCUUGUCGAUGAGUGUAACAAUGAACAUGGGCUUCUGAUGGCAUCUCACAAGAUCGGCAUAUGUAACUAUUAUUGAAUAAAUGGUCUCGCAAAAACCGACCCAAAGGUUUGUCAAAGCUACCAUAGUAUUUAAUUCGAAAAAGAUGAGACCUUUCACAGACAGUCCCCUUCCAUACACAGCGGGAAGACAAGGAAACCAAAAUGCUCUGAUGAUCUGAAGGUGAUGGAGGAAAUUCUUCUUUUAAAGGUCCUGGCUCCUCAAGAUUACUUUUAUUAUCUUGUCGUGCAGAUGAUACCUCUGAGCUGUGCGACAGAGUGGGAACCAUUUCACCAAGAUCAUUUGGGGAAUGAUUUUCCAUAAUACCUUCUGAAUGCUGAAAGCCAUUAACAGUAAGAUGAUCACCCAUGGCAGCCACCUUGUUGUUAACCGGAAUUAUUUCUGCUACCAGAGAACCUCCAGGUUGCAUUUUAUUUUUCUGCUCAAAAGUACAGUAAGAAUCUGAAACAACUUUCAUUGUAUAAGGAACAGUUGAAAGAAAUGCAGCUGAGUUGAUGCCAGAUGAAGUGAGUGCUGUGGAUUGAGAGCUAGGACCAUCAGCUAGCGGUUUCCUUUCAACUUGGUCUGCAGAAGAACUGCUGACUGUUGAGUCAAUAUAUGCAAUAUGGAUGCUGUUGGAUGUUUGUGGUUCACUACUAGCGUGCAGUCCCUGAGACUUUUCAUUGGCAGGGAUAGUGAAACCAGGUACAGUUGAUAUAGAUCUAUCAACGCUUGAAGGUUUAUCAGGGAGUGCCACUGUUAUUGGAGAGUUCAGUGGGAGUUCUGGUAGAGACGCUCCUUCAUCAGCAAGAAAAGACGUCUCCAAAGCCAGGUGAUAUGCUGCAAAAACUCCAUAUUGGACCACAUGCUUCACCUUCUUCAAAUCAUCACCAUGGGCACCCUUAAGCAAAAU